UACGUAGGGUGCAAGCGUUGUCCGGAAUUAUUGGGCGUAAAGAGCUCGUAGGCGGCUUGUCGCGUCGGCUGUGAAAACCUGGGGCUCAACCCCGGGCCUGCAGCCGAUACGGGCAAGCUAGAAUUCGGUAGGGGGAGACUGGAAGUCCUGGAUGUAGCGGUGAAAUGCGCAGAUAUCAGGAGGAACACCGGUGGCGAAGGCGGGGUCUCUGGGGCCGAAAUUGACGCUGAGCGCGAAAGCUAGGGGAGCAAACAGG
rnacentral:rRNA from 1 species